GGAAAAUAUUUCCUGGGCAUCAUGGAGCUCAUCCAAAGAACAUGAAAGCCUUGUGGUCUUCCUCUUUCUGAUGGAAGCUCCCAGAUAUGUGCUGUCCCAGGUGCACCUGAAGGAGUCAGAACCUCACUUGGUGAAGUCCUCACACACUCUAUAACUCACCUAAAGGCUCUGGAUGAUUCUCUUUAACUGGCUAUAUUAUGCAUUGGAUCCACCAAUCUCCAGGAAAGGGGCUAGAGUGGGCCAGUGAGACAUAUAGUGGUAUAAAUACAUA
rnacentral:lncRNA from 1 species